rnacentral:rRNA from 1 species
CCCUAAACCUAGAUUUUUUAUUUUAUAAAAAUUGGCCAGAGAAACUACAAACCAAAUGUUGGAAACUCAAGGGACUUGGCGGCUGCCCCAAACCCACCUAGAGGAGCCUGUUCUAUAAUCGAUAAUCCACGAUUCACCUCGCCACCUCUCGCCCACAGCCUAUAUACCUCCGUCCACAGCUUACCCUGCUAAGGAAUAAAAGUAAGCACAAUAGUUCAUNCAACUANCAAGUCAGGUCAAGGUGUAGCCAACUGAGGUGGAAGAAAUGGGCUACAUUUUCUACACUAGAAAUAUUCACGGAAAGAGCCUUGAAAUAUGGACCUAAAAGUAGGAUUUAGCAGUAAUGUGAAANCAGAGANCCCACAUUAACCCGGAUCUGGGC